rnacentral:rRNA from 1 species
GCUUCGGCUCCCGCUAUCGGAUGAGCCUAUGUCGGAUUAGCUGGUUGGUGAGGUAAAGGCUCACCAAGGCGACGAUCCGUAGCUGGUCUGAGAGGAUGAUCAGCCACAUCGGGACUGAGACACGGCCCGAACUCCUACGGGAGGCAGCAGUGGGGAAUAUUGGACAAUGGGGGGAACCCUGAUCCAGCCAUGCCGCGUGUGUGAAGAAGGCCCUCAGGUUGUAAAGCACUUUCAGUGAGGAAGAACGCCUGGUGGUUAAUACCCAUCAGGAAAGACAUCACUCACAGAAGAAGCACCGGCUAACUCCGUGCCAGCAGCCGCGGUAAUACGGAGGGUGCGAGCGUUAAUCGGAAUUACUGGGCGUAAAGCGCGCGUAGGUGGCUUGAUAAGCCGGUUGUGAAAGCCCCGGGCUCAACCUGGGAACGGCAUCCGGAACUGUCAAGCUAGAGUGCAGGAGAGGAAGGUAGAAUUCCCGGUGUAGCGGUGAAAUGCGUAGAGAUCGGNGAGGAAUACCANGUGGCGAAGGCGGCCUUCUGGACUGACACUGACACUGAGGUGCGAAAGCGUGGGUAGCAAACAGGAUUAGAUACCCUGGUAGUCCACGCCGUAAACGAUGUCGACCAGCCGUUGGGUGCCUAGCGCACUUUGUGGCGAAGUUAACGCGAUAAGUCGACCGCCUGGGGAGUACGGCCGNCAAGGUUAAAACUCAAAUGAAUUGACGGGGGCCCGCACAAGCGGUGGAGCGUGUGGUUUAAUUCGAUGCAACGCGAAGAACCUUACCUACUCUUGACAUCCUGCGAACUUGUGAGAGAUCACUUGGUGCCUUCGGGAACGCAGAGACAGGUGCUGCAUGGCUGUCGUCAGCUCGUGUUGUAAAAUGUUGGGUUAAGUCCCGUAACGAGCGCAACCCUUGUCCUUAUUUGCCAGCGCGUAAUGGCGGGAACUCUAAGGAGACUGCCGGUGACAAACCGGAGGAAGGUGGGGACGACGUCAAGUCAUCAUGGCCCUUGCGAGUAGGGCUACACACGUGCUACAAUGGUCGGUACAAAGGGUUGCCAACUCGCGAGAGUGAGCCAAUCCCG